rnacentral:lncRNA from 1 species
GCUCAUAUGCCUAUAAAUAGAGGGCUUGGGGAGCUGAUUUUCUAAGAGAAAAAGACGGGGAAACCCUACACAAUUCGCUUUGCACUCGCCCAUACAGUGUAUUUUCCCACUUUUAAACACAUGUGAGCUCAUAUAUAGCCUCUUUUGUACACACAAAAGCCCGUGUUUACCCACUCUAAAGAUAUAGAAGCCUAUUUUAGCAGUCAACUGUAAGCCUUCUCACACACUUUAAAGUCUUUCUCUUCAUCUUUGCACACACCCUUCUACACAUUGAGAGUCGUGUUGCUUGCUUU